rnacentral:rRNA from 1 species
GACGAACGCUGGCGGCGUGCCUAAUACAUGCAAGUAGAACGCAGUUGCGAACGGGUGAGUAACGCGUAGGUAACUGCCUCAUAGCGGGGGAUAACUAUUGGAAACGAUAGCUAAUACCGCAUACUGUGAGAUGGAGCUGCGUUGUAUUAGCUAGUUGGUGAGGUAAAGGCUCACCAAGGCGACGAUACAUAGCCGGCCUGAGAGGAUGAUCGGCCACACUGGGACGGAGACACGGCCCAGACUCCUACGGGAGGCAGCAGUAGGGAAUCGUCGGCAAUGGACGGAAGGCUGACCAAGCAACGCCGCGUGAAUGAAGAAGGUUUCGGAGCUUAAAAGUCUGUUGUGAGAGGAGCGUUAUCUAACCAAGAAGGAACGGCUAACUACGUGCCAGCAGCCGCGGUAAUAC